rnacentral:rRNA from 1 species
GACGAACGCUGGCGGCGUGCUUAAUACAUGCAAGUCGAACGAUCCCGAGCUUCGGCUCAAUGGGAGAGUGGCGAACGGGUGAGUAUCACGUGAGAAACCUGCCUCGGAGAUGGGGAUAGCCCAGGGAAACCUGGAUUAAUACCCAAUAUUCUGACAGCACCGCAUGGUGCAGUCAGGAAAGGUUCCGGCGCUCCGGGAGGGUCUCGCGGCCUAUCAGCUUGUUGGUGAGGUAAUGGCUCACCAAGGCAUCGACGGGUAGCUGGUCUGAGAGGACGAUCAGCCACACUGGGACUGAGACACGGCCCAGACUCCUACGGGAGGCAGCAGUAGGGAAUCUUGCGCAAUGGGCGAAAGCCUGACGCAGCAACGCCGCGUGGGGGAAGAAGGCUCUCGGGUCGUAAACCCCUUUCAGCAGGGACGAAAAUGACGGUACCUGCAGAAGAAGGACCGGCCAACUACG